GCUGGGCGUGGUGGCGCAUGCCUGUAGUCCCAGCUACUCAGGAGGCUGAGGCAGGAGGAUCGCUUGAACCCAGGAGGCGGAGGUUGCAGUCAGCCGAGAUCGUGCCACUGCACUCUAGUCUGGUGACAGAGUGAGACUCCGUCUCAAAAAAAAAAAAUUUCUAGAGACAUGUUGCCCAGGCUGGAGUGCAGUGGCACGAUCAUAGCUCACUGCAGCCUUGAACUCCUGGGCUGAAGUGAUCCACCCACCU
rnacentral:SRP_RNA from 1 species